rnacentral:rRNA from 1 species
CAGUAGCCGCGGUAAUACGUAGGUGGCAAGCGUUGUCCGGAAUUAUUGGGCGUAAAGGGCUCGCAGGCGGUUUCUUAAGUCUGAUGUGAAAGCCCCCGGCUCAACCGGGGAGGGCCAUUGGAAACUGGGAAACUUGAGUGCAGAAGAGGAGAGUGGAAUUCCACGUGUAGCGGUGAAAUGCGUAGAGAUGUGGAGGAACACCAGUGGCGAAGGCGACUCUCUGGUCUGUAACUGACGCUGAGGAGCGAAAGCGUGGGGAGCGAACAGGAUUAGAUACCCCAGUAGUCCCUGUCUCUUAUAC